rnacentral:rRNA from 1 species
AGGGCACCACCAGGUGUGGAGCCUGCGGCUUAAUUUGACUCAACACGGGGAAACUCACCAGGUCCAGACACGACAAGGAUUGACAGAUUGAUAGCUCUUUCUUGAUUUCGUGGUUGGUGGUGCAUGGCCGUUCUUAGUUGGUGGAGUGAUUUGUCUGGUUAAUUCCGAUAACGAACGAGACCUUAUCCUGCUAAAUAGCCCGGCCGACUUUGGUUGGUCGCUGGCUUCUUAGAGGGACUAUCAGCGUUUAGCUGAUGGAAGUUUGAGGCA